AUAUACAGACGGGUAUACUCACUAACCUAAACUAGACAAGAUUUAUAUAACUAUAGCACCAUGUUUGCUUAAACAAUAAGCAUGAGAGAUGAAUUAUCUUUUCCUACGAAUUAACCGUUAUUUUGUUGUUCAAGAUUGUGGUAAACGGAAAAUUGUUCAUAUAUAGCCAAAAAAACAGAUCACUUAGUGAGAGGAGCGAGAAAAUGCUCUCAAGUGUCCCCUAGUGGGCUUAAGUUAUUUCUUGAAGUGUGGGCCAGAUAAUCUUAUCUUGUUAGAGUGUGCGGUGGUUUUAACAACCAUGUUCGUUUGCGUGUCGCGCGACCUGUAACCUGCGACUAAGAUUACGUUCGUUUACGUAUCGCGCGACCUGCGAUUUGCGACCUGCGACUAACCUGCGACCUGCGACUAAAACUAUGUUCGUUUACGUGUCGCGCGACCUGUGAUCUGCGACCUGCGACCAGUCGCGCGAUCAAAAUUUUCUUAAUUUUUAGUUGCUGUUUUUUCGGGCGACUUAGAUGGGAACCCGCGACUGGUCGUGCGAUCAGUCGCGCGACAUCAAAACGAACAACAACCUGCGACUUGCGACCAAUCGCAGGUCGCAGGUCGCGCGACAUGUAAACGAACACGGCCAACGUCUUUCGGAAAAAUAUCUGAGUUUUUUUCCUUUCUUUUUACCUUACUUUACUCUUAUCUCGAGAAAUUUUAGUGUUUCUUCCUCUUUGUUCUUCCGCUUUGAAGUCUGAGUUGGUGGAGAGGAUAAAAUUUCUUGAUAAAGUUGAGCUGUUCAUUCGAAGAUUUCCAUGUCAGUUGCUAUGGAUAGAGCUUUGAUGACUCUUUCUCUGGAUGAGGAAGAGGAAGCUUAAGUAUCAUGGGAAGAGCGUUGAAUCCAGAGUGUCAGAAAAUGUCUGGGCUCAUUCUAACGAUGCCUAGAAAAUGGCAAAAGGAGGGAAGAGUUAGAGAUUGGCCAGAUUCCACGAGGGAGGCUUUAACAGCGUUGGGGGAUCUGGUUUGGGAAGACGAAAGUGGUUUGCUUUUGAUCCUUCAAAACCAAUUACUCAAGACUCUGUGAGAGUUCAGGUACUUUUGGUGGAGGAAGGACUACUACUAUUCGUUUUCACUAUGAGCAGGUGCAAAAACGGUGUUUCACUUGUCAGCGAUUAAAUCAUGAGCAACAGAUUUGUCCUUUGAAGAUUAGACAGAGGCAUGAAGAAGCGGCUUUAA